rnacentral:misc_RNA from 1 species
GAUGAAGAACGUAGUGAAAUGCGAUACGUAAUGUGAAUUGCAGAAUUCAGUGAAUCAUCGAAUCUUUGAACGCAUAUUGCGCUCUCUGGUAUUCCGGAGAGCAUGCUUGCUUGAGUAUCAGUAAACACCUCAACUUCCAUAUCUUUUUUGAAAUGGGAGUUGGACUUGAGUGAUCCCAACGCUUUUCCUCACCGAAAAGUGGCGGGUUACUUGAAAUGCAGGUGCAGCUGGACUUUUCUCUGAGCUAUAAGCAUAUCUAUUUAGUCUGCCUAAAAAACAGAUUAUUACCUUUGCUGCAGCUAACAUAAAGGAGAUUAGUUCUUGUGCUGACUGAUGCAGGAUUCACAAAGACGGCUUCGGCCGACUUUGUAAACUCGAUCUCAAAUCAAGUAAGACUACCCGCUGAACUUAAGCAUAUCAAUAAGCGGAGGA